GGAGUCGGCGGCCGAACCCACUGGGAACUAUUAGUAGUUCUCACCCCACUUUGUUGCAGGGCCGAGUUCGAGUGGACUGGGCGAGGACCGUGGUAAGGGCAUAGCGCCCUAAUAGCUAGCAGCUUUUCGUUUGCAUUAGAGUACCCCCGUGUACAUGAGUGACAGAUGAAGUAUAUAUUGGAGAGUUGUAUGUAUGUAUUUUGAGAUGAACAUGUAUACAUUUUGGGAGAUGAAAAUAUAAAUGUUGAAUGACAAAUGUAAU
rnacentral:lncRNA from 1 species